GAAGGGAUUAAUGGGCCCAUGAGA
rnacentral:siRNA from 1 species